rnacentral:rRNA from 1 species
AUUGAACGCUGGCGGCAGGCCUAACACAUGCAAGUCGAGCGGAGCGGCGGACGGGUGAGUAAUGCCUAGGAAUAUGCCUGGUAGUGGGGGAUAACGUCCGGAAACGGGCGCUAAUACCGCAUACUAUUAGAUGAGCCUAGGUCGGAUGUGCCAGUUGGUGGGGUAAAGGCCUACAAAGGCGACGAUCCGUAACUGGUCUGAGAGGAUGAUCAGUCACACGGGAACUGAGACACGGUCCAAACUCCUACGGGAGGCAGCAGUGGGAAAUAUUGGACAAUGGGCGAAAGCCUGCUCCAGCCAUGCCGCGUGUGUGAGAAAGUUCUUCGGUUUGUAAAGCACUUUGAGUUGGGAGACGUUACCAACAGAAUAAGCACCGGCUAACUUCGUGCCAGCAGCCGCGGUAAUAC